UAUUUCCAGUAGCCAGCAGUAAGAUGGGCACUCUGGAGAGACUGCCGGGGAUAACCCGGAGGAAGGUGGGGAUGAGGUCAAAUGAUCAUGGCCCUUAUGAUUUGGGCUACACACGUGCUACAAUGGCAGUUACAAAGAGAAGCAAACCUGUGAAGGCGAGCAAACCUCAAAAAGGCUGUCUCAGUUCGGAUUGUAGUCUGCAACUCGACUACAUGAAGCUGGAAUCGCUAGGUAAUCGCAGAUCAGCAUGCUGCGGUGAAUACGUUC
rnacentral:rRNA from 1 species